GGCCGGUUAGCUCAGUGGUUUGAACGCGGUGCUGACAGUGACCAACACUGAGGUCGCGGGUUCGAUUCCCGCUCGGUCC
rfam:Apaloderma vittatum contig92405, whole genome shotgun sequence.